rnacentral:rRNA from 1 species
AAGGAGAAGUCGUAACAAGGUUUCCGUACGUGAACAUGCGGAAGGAUCGUUGUCGAAACCUGCCCCGGCAGAACUUGCCCGGUGCUCGCACUAGGUGAAUCCCGGCGCGGCAAGCGCCAAGGAAAACAAAAAAUAGAUUCGUUGCCCCUUUGGCUCCCGUCCGCGGUGUGGCCAUGGGGAUGCAGCGUAUCUUGAAAGUCUAAACGACUCUCGGCAACGGAUAUCUCGGCUCUCGCAUCGAUGAAGAACGUAGCGAAAUGCGAUACUUGGUGUGAAUUGCAGAAUCCCGUGAACCAUCGAGUCUUUGAACGCAAGUUGCGCCCGACGCCUUCGGGCUGAGGGCACGCCUGCCUGGGCGUCACGCAUCGCGUCGUCCCCUCCCAUUCCCUCACGGGUUUGGUUAUGGGACGGAUAAUGGCUUCCCGUUAGCUCGGUUAGCCCAAAAAGGAUCCCUCAUCGACGGAUGUCACAACCAGUGGUGGUUGAAAGAUCAUUGGUGCUGUUGUGCUUCACCCUGUCGCUUGCUAGGGCAUCGUCAUAAACUAACGGCGUGUAAUGCGCCUUCGACCGCGACCCCAGGUCAGACGGGACUACCCGCUGAG